ensembl:lncRNA novel transcript
CUCUUCACCUCCGUGAGCAAGAUGGCGACUGUGAAGAGUGAGCUUAUUGAGUGCUUCACUUCCGAGGAGCCCUUUCAUCACAGAAAGGUCUCCAUCACAGGAACUGGAUCAGUGGGCAUGGCCUGCGCUACCAGCAUCUUAUUAAAAGGCUUGAGUGAUGAACUUGCCUUUGUGGAUCUUGAUGAAGGCAAACUGAAAGGUGAGACAAUGGAUCUUCAACAUGACAGCCCUUUCAUGAAAAUGUCAAAUAUUGUUUGUAGCAAAGAUUACCUUGUCACAGCAAACCCCCAUCUAGUGAUUAUCACAGCAGGUGCACGCCGAGAAAAGGGAGAAAUGCGCUUUAAUUUAGUCCGGCAAAAUGUGGCCAUCUUCAAGUUAAUGAUUUCCAGUAUUGUCCAGCAGAGCCCCCUCUGCAAACUAAUUAUUGUUUCCAAUCCAGUAGAUAUCUUAACUUACGUAGCCUGGAAGUUGAGUGCAUUUCCCAAAAACCGUGUUAUUGGAAGCGGCUGUAAUCUGGAUACUGUUCGUUUUCAAUUCUUCAUUGGACAAAAGCUUGGUAUCCACUCUGAAAGCUGCCGUGGAUGGAUCCUCGGAGAGCAUGGAGACUCAAGUGUUCCUGUGUGGAGUGGAAUGAACAUAGCUGGUGUCCUUUUGAAGGAUCUGAACUCUGAUAUAGGAACUGAUAAAGAUCCUGAGAAAUGGAAAAAUGUCCACAAAGAAGUGAUUGCUAGUGCCUAUGAGAUUAUUGAAAUGAAAAGUUCUACUUCGUGGGCCAUUGGCCUAUCUGGAGCUGAUUUAACAGAAAGUAUUUUGAAGAAUCUUAGGAGAAAACAUCCAGUUUCCACCAUAAUUAAGGGCCUCUACGGAAUAAAUGAAGAAGUCUUCCUCAGUAUUCCUUCUUUGGAGAGAAGGGUAUUACCAACCUUAUAAAGAGAAAGCUGACCCCUGAAGAGGAGGCCCAUCUGAAAAAGAGUGCAAAAACACUUUGGGAAAUUCAGAAGGAGCUUGAGACUUAAAGUUGUCUAAAACUACCAUUCCGAAAUUAUUGAAGAGAUCAUAGAUACAGGAUUAUAUAUCAAAAUUUUCAAUAAACUUGAAUUCCUGAAAGAUGGAAACAGGAAAGUGGGUAGAGUGACUUUCCUUUUUAUUUAGUCUUCCAGCUCUUUUAUUUAGCAUCCAGGUGCUGGAUGAUACUUAUUUACAAUUCCUAAAGAAAGUGUUUUUGGUAAUGCUGAUAUAGCAGUACUUACCUUGUUAUAUAUAUGUAGUUGGCAUUUGGUUCCUAAAAAGUAGGAUGUAGGUAUUUACUGUGUUUGAGAAAUUCUGAUUCUUUUCACUAGAUAUAUGCUAUUUAUUCUUGCUGGCUUAUACCUAUGUUCAUUUAUAUGCUGUAAAAAAGUGGUAAUUUACAAUGUAAAAAUAAAAGUAUGCAUAUACAAAAAAAAGAAGACAUUUAUGCGGCCAACAAACAUGAAAAAAGCUCAUUAUCACUGGUCAUUACAGAAAUGCAAAUCAAAACCACAAUGAGAUACCAUCUCAUGCCAGUUAGAAUGGCAAUCACUAAAAAGUCAGGAAACAACAGAUGCUGGAGAGAAUGUGGAGAAAUAGGAACAUAUUUACACUACUGGUGGGAGUGUAAAUUAGUUCAACCACUGUGGAAGACAGUGCGGUGAUUCCUCAAGGAUCUAGAACCAGAAAUAUCAUUUGACCCAGCAAUCCCAUUACUGGGUAUAUACCCAAUGGAUUAUAAAUCAUUGUACUAUAAAGACACAUGCUUUCUCUUUUUUCUAACUUGCUCUUCAGACUUAAUGCUCAGUAUUACCUUCCUCACUAUGAGUUUGUCUCCCCUAGAAGAUAGUCUAUGUAUUCCAUUUGGCUGUGGAUCUGAUUCUGCUUGGGGCAUGUAUUUCUCUUGAAUACUUGAAUACCAUGGGACCCACCCAUGUUUUCUGGGACUCAGGCAUAAGGCAAUCACCUCAAUUUUCUAUGUCCAUGUAAUGACUCUUGUGCUGGUGUUAUCUAACAUGUUAACUAGAUUGUAGUUGUAGUUCUCUGCAUGUAAGGAUCAAUGCUUUUUUUUCUGCUGAUUCCCCAACAACCUUAUAUAAUGUUGAGUUCCUAUAAGAUGCUUAGAAACUAGUUGUUAAUUUGUACAUUCCCACUUUUUGGAUCUUUACCAAGCUUAUCUUUUGUUGGAGGAUUUUGUAAAAACAAAAAGGGGAAGAGUAGACACUGCUGAAGGAAAGAACUUAAAAGUCAGGAACUGCCUUGGUUUCCCCUUUUAUUUUCUUCCUCUUGCUUUUGUUAUCUCCUCUUUCUAAUAUAGCAAUAUGAGUGUAUGGCUACCACAUAUAUUUGUUUAAAUUUAACUUAAAAUAUCCAUUCUAGAUAAUCUGCCUUUAGCCCUUUUCUAUCAGGGUACUAUAUUUUAUCAUUAAUUAAUUCCUUAUAAUUAACUUCAUUUAUUUCUUAUUAAUCUCAUAAUGGACAAGGAGUACCAGUGCCUGGUUGAAUAAAGAGGGGAAUCACUUUGUUGUCAGAACAGAAACUCAUUCAAACCAGCUCAGGUCAGAAACAAAAAGUGGGGAAUGUAUUGAAUGUCUGAUGGUAUCUCUAAUAACUGUAGAGUAAUAAUUAUAGAGAUCUGUCAUUUGGUACUGGAUCCAGGACCCAGAAAAUUUGAAUCCAAGGUUAUUUGCUUUGUUUUUUUCAGAAGAGUUGAUCUCUUGGCUCUGCUCCUAUUGGUACAUCAACUUUAUUUUUCCUGGGUCUUACUGUAGAUUAUCUUACUGUGCUCCGGCCCGCACAUGUUGGUCCCAGCCUCUGCGUUUCCAGAUCUCCUAACUCAAACACUCAUCAGAAAUUAAGUGCAGUCUAGUUUCUGUGUUCCAAUUCUAAAUUCCAAGAAGAGAUUCUGAUUGUCCAGCUUUGCUAAGAUACAGACCCCCCAUCCUGUCAGCAGGGGUUAGGGUGUAGAAGAGUCAUGUCCUACAAACAUGGGUACAAAUAUGGGCAUCAGCACGGGGGAGGUGCUUACCCCUGAAAGUCCCUAAGUGUUGGCGUGAACAGUUUCGCAAUAUAUACUGGCUGAUUUUACUAUGGCAGGCUCACAAAGUUUAUACAGAAUAGACCUUUCCAAUCUCCUUGAUUUCUUUGUUUUGAAAUGUGGCUGAUGUCUGAAUACAGUAUCCAACAAAAUAAUUAAAGUGCUGUUUGGAGAUUUA